AGGGGGAGGGGAGGAAAGGUAUGAGCAUUAUACCGCGAAACUGCGAAUGGCUCAUUAAAUCAGUUAUCGUUUAUUUGAUAGUACCUUACUACUUGGAUAACCGUGGUAAUUCUAGAGCUAAUACAUGCUAAAAAUCCCGACUUCGGAAGGGAUGUAUUUAUUAGAUUAAAAACCAAUGCCCUUCGGGGCUCUUUGGUGAUUCAUAAUAACUUCUCGAAUCGCAUGGCCUUGCGCCGGCGAUGGUUCAUUCAAAUUUCUGCCCUAUCAACUUUCGAUGGCAGGGUCUUGGCCUGCCAUGGUUACAACGGGUAACGGAGGGUUAGGGCUCGACCCCGGAGAUGGAGCCUGAGAAAUGGCUACAACAUCCAAGGAAGGCAGCAGGCGCGCAAAUUACCCAAUCCCGAUACGGGGAGGUAGUGACAAUAAAUACUGAUACAGGGCUCUUUUGGGUCUUGUAAUUGGAAUGAGUACAAUUUAAAUCCCUUAACGAGGAACAAUUGGAGGGCAAGUCUGGUGCCAGCAGCCGCGGUAAUUCCAGCUCCAAUAGCGUAUAUUAAAGUUGUUGAGGUUAAAAAGCUCGUAGUUGAACCUUGGGCCUGGCUGGCCGGUCCGCCUCACCGCGUGCACUGGUUCGGCCGGGCCUUUCCCUCUGGGGAACCUCAUGCCCUUCACUGGGUGUGACGGGGAACCAGGACUUUUACUGUGAAAAAAUUAGAGUGUUCAAAGCAGGCCUAUGCUCGAAUACAUUAGCAUGGAAUAAUAGAAUAGGACGUGUGGUUCUAUUUUGUUGGUUUCUAGGACCGCCGUAAUGAUUAAUAGGGACAGUCGGGGGCAUCAGUAUUCAAUCGUCAGAGGUGAAAUUCUUGGAUUGAUUGAAGACUAACUACUGCGAAAGCAUUUGCCAAGGAUGUUUUCAUUAAUCAGGAACGAAAGUUAGGGGAUCGAAGACGAUCAGAUACCGUCGUAGUCUUAACCAUAAACUAUGCCGACUAGGGAUCGGACGAUGUUAUUUUUUGACUCGUUCGGCACCUUACGAGAAAUCAAAGUCUUAGGUACUGUGAGAGAUGACUCCAUUGC
rnacentral:rRNA from 1 species